AACAUCAGGCCCGUCUACAUCAACCAGCGAACUGCAGAAGGACAAGCAUUUACCAUGCACAGGACCGCGAUGCAUGGUGCACGAUUGAUGGACGAACUGUGAACGUGGACGUGCAUCGAACACGAAGCGUUUAAAGAUGUUCGAAACGGGGAAUAUAUAUGUUCGAGAGAUAAAACAUUUCAAUAUUUAAAUAUUUGAAAGUUUGAGAAUUAGAAAAUUUGUAAAUUUGUAUGUUUGAAUAUUUAAAAAUUGGAAUGUUUGAAUAUGUGAAAAUUUAAAUACUCGAAUAUUUGAAAGUUCGAGAAUUUGAAUAUCUAAAUGUUUCAAAGUUUUUGAAUUUGAACAUUUAAGUUUGGAAGCUUGAAAAUUUGGAAGUUUGAAAGUUCGAAUAUUUGGAGAUUUUGUAAUUUUCGAAUUCGAAGAAUUGGAAGAAUAUUGCGCUUGAAACAUUCUUCAGAGGUUUGGAAGCUUGAAAAUUUGAAAGCUUGAAAAUUUGGAAGCUUGAAAAUUUGGAAGUUUGAAAUUUCGAAUAUUUGGAGAUUUUGUAAUUUUCGAAUUCGAAAAAUUGUAACAAUAUUGCACUUGAAACAUUCUUCAGAGGUUUGGAAGCUUGAAAAUUUGAAAGCUUGAAAAUUUGGAAACUUGAAAAUUUGGAAAUUUGAAAGUUCGAAUAUUUGGAGAUUUUGUAAUUUUCAAAUUCGAAAACUUGGAAGAAUAUUGCACUUGAAACAUUCUUCAGAGGUUUGGAAGCUUGAAAAUUUGGAAGUUUGAAAGUUUGGAAGCUUGAAAAUUUGGAAGUUUGAAAGUUCGAAUAUUUGGAAAUUUUGUAAUUUUCGAGCUCGAAAAAUUGGAAGAAUAUUGCACUUGAAACAUUCUUCAGAAGUAAAUAGAUAAGAGUAAUACUAGUAUUAAUAUGUUCCAUCCUGCGAGAAGUAAAAUUUGUAUUUUAUAGAAAAAUAAAUUGUAUUAACGAACGACGAUGGUUACUGAUGAUGAAAAUGCCAGCAAUGAAAUAUUGACUUUGGACAAGGCAAACGAUUUACAGUUUCUGAUAAAGACAACCAGCGAAGAAGUAAUUACUAGAGGGAUAAUGGCCCAAACACGUCUCAUGUAAAGGGUACGGUCGAUCUUUUCGUAACUGCUUGAUUAAUGACGUACGUGAGGGUACUUAAUUCUAGCUAUGAGUAUUUUUUCUUCCACGUGGCUACGGCUCUAAUGUUUCCUUUCAAUAAAUACUAUCGAUAUUUAAAAAUAAUAUUUCACAUUUAGUAGGCCAUUCGUUACGGUACAACCCGUACGUUGCGAACGAACUAAAAUGUUUCAAGAAAUAAGAAAAAAGAAAUAAACAUAAGGACCUCGAUCGUUGUUAGACACAUGGAUUGCCCGAUUUAAUGAGAUACACAUAUCGAUUCGUGACAGUGACCGUACACGCUCGCGUAUCACGAAAUCAGCAACGAACUGACACGCGCUAAUCAUUCAAUCUCCAAUCGAUCGCAAAUGCCAUUUAUGACGAAUAAAAAAAUAAUUCGUUCUCAAAGUUCAUGAAAAAAGAAAGAAAGAAACCGAAUGACUAACAAGAUAAAUGGUGAACGUUCAAUGACACACAUACACACUCCCGUUUACAUAAUACUCUCAUUAAUGAAAGGAAAAUUAAAGGACAUUCAGGGAAAAAUAUCAACGCUCGAGAAAAUCUAGGUAAAGGCAUUGGUUCGAUUAUCCUAUCUAUGUAACGUGUUCUCGUUUUUCAAAAUGUAUCGAAACCCUUAAGUUAUUGAGAAAGUUCGUAGCGAAAUUUAUUAUUUAAUAAAAUUCAUGAUAAAAUGAUCUUCUUCCAAUUCUAUUAGAAUCUGUCACACGACACAUUGGUUGUGAAAAACGCUAUGAACUGUCCGAACAACCUUUCCUUUCGCGUUUACCUAAGAAUUUUAUGCCCUUUACCUUUUAAUUACAGAUAUACAGCUACGAAAUAAGCAGUGAAUGUCUUAAGUUGAAUAGAGAAAGACAAAGAUGUGGUAAAAAGAUAAUAAAAUUAUUAGUUCAGCUUUCUCGAACGUUUCAAAAUGAUAAUUUCAACUAAGAAUGGUCAGCACGUGCCUCUGGAGCUGCUCGAUUCUCACGUAGGCCAGAUGUUUAUGUAUAAAAAUGCUGGCUGUGCACACGAGACGAACGUAUAAACCAGCUCAGUGACGUAAGAAUCAACGACGCUACUGUUACCGGAUUCGAAAACUGGUGGAUCUCUCGAA